GAUGAACGCUGGCGGCGUGCUUAACACAUGCAAGUCGAACGAUGAAGCCCAGCUUGCUGGGUGGAUUAGUGGCGAACGGGUGAGUAACACGUGAGUAACCUGCCCUUAACUCUGGGAUAAGCCUGGGAAACUGGGUCUAAUACCGGAUAGGAGCGUCCACCGCAUGGUGGGUGUUGGAAAGAUUUAUCGGUUUUGGAUGGACUCGCGGCCUAUCAGCUUGUUGGUGGGGUAAUGGCUCACCAAGGCGACGACGGAUAGCCGGCCUGGGAGGGUGACCGGCCACACUGGGACUGAGACACGGACCAGACUCCUACGGGAGGCAGCAGUGGCGAAUAUUGUACAAUGGGCGCAAGCCUGAUGCAGCGACGCCGCGUGAGGGAUGACGGCCUUCGGGGUGUAAACCUCUUUCAGUAGGGAAGAAGCGAAAGUGACGGUACCUGCAGAAGAAGCACCGGCUAACUACGUG
rnacentral:rRNA from 1 species